ensembl:lncRNA
GAACAGAGCAGGCGGACUAAAACUUUGUUAUCGAGGGCAGAGCAAAACCGGAAGGUUUACUGAGCUGUGGCUUCACGUAAACGCUGAGCAUCCACUCGAUGGCGGUCAGGUUUUUAUAUGGAACGAAUCCAAAUACCAGGUCAGCGAUUCCAGAACCCAGAGUGUUCCAGUGUUCACUGGAUGGCGAGUCAACCCAAGAUCCUAGGAGACGAUAUACAUACACGCGCACACUCAAUUGCACAUUGAUGGACUACAAUCCUCUACUGUACAAGUAGUGCGGAGCGGUGCUGAGCAGGAUCAAUGUCCACAAGGCUGCAGGUCCUGAUGGCAUCCCCGGUCGUGUUCUUAGAGCGUGUUCUGGGGAGCUUGCAGGAGUGCUGACAGACAUAUUCAACCUGUCCUUGGCCCACGCUGUGGUACCGGCCUGCUUCAAAUCCACCUCCAUCGUCCCGAUACCCAAAAACUCCAACCCAUCUUGCCUCAAUGACUACCGCCCAGUAGCACUCACCCCCAUCAUCACUAAGUGCUUAGAGCAGCUGGUCCUAGCACACUUCAAAUCCUGUCUUCC